rnacentral:lncRNA from 10 species
AUUAUUCCACUGUGAAGUUAGGUAGGGGGUCUAUUGAGAAGUUCAGGAAGAUCUUGGUCAGGGAAAUCAUCUUCUCCAACUAACUUGCCAAGCCUGAUUCCUGAUUUUACCUUUCACUAUAUAACAUACCUACCCACUCUUUAUACCCAAGUGUCUUACCCAGGGGUGAAGAACUGAAACAUCUUCCUGAACCAGCCUCUGUCACCACUGUCCUCCUGGCAGCAUCCUGAAUUGCGAAGAGCCACCCCGCCCCCCAGACAUUCAGUGACCUAGACUCAGACCUCUGGGGAAGGACACAGUCUCCAGGCUCAGCCAGUAGGCAGGGGACUGUGACAGAAAGGGACAUGUGGCCAAGUCCCUCUGGUGAGAUACAAACCUGGACUUUGGCCAAACCUGGUUUUCAACCUAGAAGCAUCUUUCUCCUGGACCUGGAAGCGAUCCCUUUGAAACACAGUCAUAAAGACAGGGCCUCUGUCUCCUGGGUCCUGUGGGAAGAGUCCUCAGGUGACCUUGGGAGUUCAUGCUUCCUCUCUAAGCCUUCGACCCCAAGCUGAAACAGUGGAGCUGCUGGAGAUGGUACUGGGUGCCCCUGCUAGCUGAGACAUUGCAGGACUUUUGGGACACGAGGUUCUGCCACUCUGAUCAGUCGUCAUCACCGUGUGUGCACAAGAGAACCCUGCAGAGCUUCCCAUGGUGCGUCCACGCAGCCGCCUUGUUCCUGGCAGCCCAGAGGCUGCACUGCCCACUCCCAACGCUUCCUCCCGCUUCCUUCACAAGGAGCGCAACGCUCUGGCAAUGCUCGUCCUUGGGUAUUUUAAUUAACUAACCACUCAGCCUUUUAUUUGUCAAACACACAUUUACAAUUAGCUCUAUUUGGCUUCCUAGCUUCCCAAUUGAACAUGAAGAAGAAUUAACUAAUUAAACUAAUACAUCUAUUAUUUAAGGUUUGUUUACCUUUCUCAAAAUUUUGAGGAACACUG